rnacentral:rRNA from 1 species
CAGUAGCCGCGGUAAUACAGAGGGUGCGAGCGUUAAUCGGAUUUACUGGGCGUAAAGCGUGUGUAGGUUGUUGUUCAAGUCAGUUGUGAAAUCCCUGGGCUCAACCUGGGAACUGCUUCUGAGACUGAACGACUAGAGUACGGUAGAGGGUGGUGGAAUUUCCGGUGUAGCGGUGAAAUGCGUAGAUAUCGGAAGGAACAUCAAUGGCGAAGGCAGCCACCUGGGCCUGUACUGACACUGAGACACGAAAGCGUGGGGAUCAAACAGGAUUAGAUACCCCUGUAGUCCCUGUCUCUUAUAC